rnacentral:rRNA from 1 species
GACAGAGGGUGCAAACGUUGCUCGGAAUCACUGGGCGUAAAGGGCGUGUAGGCGGGAAGGCAAGUCAGAUGUGAAAUCCCCAGGCUCAACCUGGGAACUGCAUUUGAAACUCCCUUUCUUGAGUACCGGAGAGGAAAGUGGAAUUCCUGGUGUAGAGGUGAAAUUCGUAGAUAUCAGGAGGAACACCAGUGGCGAAGGCGGCUUUCUGGACGGUAACUGACGCUGAGACGCGAAAGCGUGGGGAGCAAACAGG